GCAGUCGUGGCCGAGUGGUUAAGGCGAUGGAGAAGAAAUCCAUUGGGGUCUUCCCGCACAGGUUCGAAUCCUGUCGACUGCG
rnacentral:tRNA from 1 species